AUGGCUCUCUGUGCACCCUUCCAUCUUCGUCUCCUUGACGCUGCCCCCUGGGAGACCCCCAUCCUCGCCCCACCCAGUGGAUGGAGUGGGCUUCCCAGAGGCAAUGGUGACUGCAGCCACCCUGCGUGCCCAGUGGCGGCCAGCGCUCACCCCUCAGGGUGCUGCACACUCAGCCCCUGGAGGAUCUGCCCAGGAGGGUCCCUCCCUCCUCCGACCCUUGCGGAGAGGCCCCCAGAGUUCCUUUUGCACAAAGCUCUGAGGUGGAGAUGCAGAAGCGGUCCCGAAGGGGCAUGCACAUUUGGAAGCGCCCGCCCCCCAGCUGUCCCCAGUGGAUUUGAUUCUGGCUCUUGCGAUUGUUUCCCGCAGCCCCACACACUGCCCUCUCGAAUGGCAACAGAAGCGAAACCCACACAGGAAACCCAAGGAGGAAGAGCCCAGUGCCCGCUGACUCAUUUCCCUCCAUGUGAGGGGACGGGGCGGGGUGGGGGGUUUGCCUGGGCCACAGCCUCCAGCCCACAAGGUUCCCUUCUCUGCUCCCCUCUCCAUCUGCACCGGACUGGCCUCCCGGGGGCAGAGACCCUGUGCGGGGCUCUUGGGAGCAACAAUUAUUUGCCAUUUUUGCUCCAACGCUCUGUGUGUUGGGGUUUCUGUCCUGGGUCCCUGAAUGGAUUGUGGCCUUUCCUUGUUGAUUCUUGGGGAUCCCUCCUAAAUCCUGGCUACGCGGCUGUUGUCAAGUGUACAGGCUGAAGAACUCCUCCGGUGGCCGAGGGUCAUAAAGACGACCAGCUCUGCUGUCUGGAGUGCCUUAUCCACCGCCUGGAAGGAUGGCCCUGCGUGAUGCUGAGUGUCAUGUCAGGGGUCCUUCUGGGAGGGGCUCACAGGUGACAGGAGUUGGGAGCAGGGGAUGGGCGGGUGGGGGCAGCUGGCGACAUUCUGGAGGCUGAGCGAGAGGGCUGUGGGCCCAGGGCAGGCUCUGAAAACGGGUGGGCCCGCUGCACCUAAACAGCCAUGCUGGGAUCCGCCCACCUCCCGGUGACUCCGGCCACUCGACCGGGGCAGACCGCGUCCCCACGUCCCCAGAUGUUGCUCGGCGGGCCACAGAAGCAACAAUCUCGUGCUAGACCCACAGGAGAUGAAGAACAGCCGCUCGGAAUCCAGGACUCAGCCCCUGGAGGUGGGGAGGGGCAGGGGUCGCCCCAG
rnacentral:lncRNA from 1 species